ensembl:lncRNA novel transcript, sense intronic to RP11-500M8.7
AUUUCUACUAUUAUGCCAUAAUAUAGAAUCAGUGGGAGUCCUGUCUUCCUGCAACUAGAUGGUCUCAUCUGGGGAUGGUGGGAGACAGCGACAGAUCAUCAGGCACUAGAUUCUCAUAAGGAGUGCACAACGUACACUUUCCACAAUAGGGUUCAAGCUCCUAUGAGAAUCUAAUGCCACCACUGAUCUGACAGGAGGUGGAGCUCAGCUUUGCUCACUUGCUCACCAUUUACCUGCUGUGUGGCCAGGUUCUAAAAGACCAUGGACUGGUACCGGUCCAUGGCCUGAGGGUUGGGGACCUCUGCUUUAGAGUGUUUAAUAUAGGUGGGGGAAUACGGGAAGGGGACAUUUUGCCAAUGGAUUCCACUUAAAGCAGCAGAGCGACACUUCAGUAAACAGUAGGGGCAAGAUAGAGUGGAAACAGCCAAGAUUUCAAGCCUAGUAAUAAGCAACUUCUACAUCCCUACUCAUCACAGGCCUUUUUGUCUAUCCCAGAAACACAUACUUUUCCUGAAAAAACAAAGCACUGGAAGGAUUACCAAGUCUAGAAAGAACCCGCCCUCCCCAAACUA